rnacentral:rRNA from 1 species
GAUGAACGCUAGCGGCAGGCCUAAUACAUGCAAGUCGAACGGUGUCUUCGGACAUAGUGGCGCACGGGUGCGUAACACGUAUGCAACCUACCUUACAUUGGGGGAUAGCCCUUCGAAAGGGAGAUUAAUACCGCAUAAGACAGUAGCUGGGCAUCCAGCAGCUGUUAAAGAUUUAUCGAUGUAAGCUGGGCAUGCGUCCAAUUAGCUAGUUGGUGAGGUAACGGCUCACCAAGGCAAUGAUUGGUAGGGGAACUGAGAGGUCAAUCCCCCACACUGGCACUGAGAUACGGGCCAGACUCCUACGGGAGGCAGCAGUAGGGAAUAUUGGGCAAUGGACGCAAGUCUGACCCAGCCAUGCCGCGUGCAGGGUGAAGGCGUUAUGCGUUGUAAACUGCUUUUAUACAGGAAGAAACGACUCUUGCGAGAGGCAUUGACGGUACUGUAUGAAUAAGCACCGGCUAACUCCGUGCCAGCCGCCGCAGUAACAC